rnacentral:sRNA from 1 species
GGGACGCGGCGGAGGAGGGUCGCUGUCCACCCGGGGGCGUGGGAGUGAGGUACUGGAUUCAGCCCGUUUGGCCCCGACGCCUCUGUUCGCGGAAUCCGGGUGCUGCGGGUUGAGGUCCCGGUUCCUAACGGUGGGAUCGGUGUCCUCGGGAUGAGAUUUGGGGUUUCCUCGGGGCUUUGGUGGGAUCGGUGUCCUCAGGAUGAGAUUUAGGGUUUCCUCAGGAUGAAAUUUAGGGUUUCCUCGGGGCUUUGGGGAUCUUCACCUAAUAUCCGGGAUUAUUUUAUGAGAGGAGUAGUCUUGGCUGUCAGAACUGGAUCCCUGGGGUGAUAUUUGGGAGUUAGUGGAGUGAUCUCUGAAGACCUAGGGCUAUGAGCUGGACCUGCUGGGGCUGAAAUUUGGGGCCUCUGAAGUGGCAUGGAGAUUGAGGUCCAGAGAGCCUGAGAUCUUGAGGGCUGACAUUUGGAGAGAUGGGGUUGAGGGUUGUCUUUGGGCCUUGACUGCUUUGGGCCUUUCUCACUCUCAUUCCCGGGAUGCUUUGCCAGAAUCUCUGCUGGAUUGGCCGUAACCCUGUCCCUGAGCGGGCUCACAGGGUCUGAAGGCCACACACGAGGCAAAGGUAAAGUUCUGAGCCACCGGGUGCCUCCUUCCCAGGACUGCAAGAUGGAGGAAGGCGGGAACCUAGGAGGCCUGAUUAAGAUGGUCCAUCUACUGGUCUUGUCAGGUGCCUGGGGCAUGCAAAUGUGGGUGACCUUCGUCUCAGGUAGGGACCCUCAGCUUGGAUGUCAUGGGUACCUGGGGUGGGGAUGGAAAUAAGAGGGGAACCGGGAAGUGCCCUAACAACCCUGUGGUCCCCAUACCCUCCCUGCAGGCUUCCUGCUUUUCCGAAGCCUUCCCCGACAUACCUUCGGACUAGUGCAGAGCAAACUCUUCCCCUUCUACUUCCACAUCUCCAUGGGCUGUGCCUUCGUCAACCUCUGCAUCUUGGCUUCACAGCAUGCCUGGGCUCAGCUCACAUUCUGGGAGGCCAGCCAGGUACGUGGGUUUGACCUUACGCUGGCCACUGUCAACGCCCGCUGGCUGGAACCCCGCACCACAGCUGCCAUGUGGGCCCUGCAAACCGUGGAGAAGGAGCGAGGCCUGGGUGGGGAGGUACCAGGCAGCCACCAGGGUCCCGAUCCCUACCGCCAGCUGCGAGAGAAGGACCCCAAGUACAGUGCUCUCCGCCAGAAUUUCUUCCGCUACCAUGGGCUGUCCUCUCUUUGCAAUCUGGGCUGCGUCCUGAGCAAUGGGCUUUGUCUCGCUGGCCUUGCACUGGAAAUAAGGAGCCUCUAGCAUGG